ACGCGUAGAAUCUGCCUUCAGGACGGGGAUAACAGUUGGAAACGACUGCUAAGACCGGAUGUGCCGAGAGGUGAAAUAUUUAUAGCCUGAAGAUGAGCUCGCGUCCGAUUAGCUAGUUGGUAAGGUAAAAGCUUACCAAGGCGACGAUCGGUAGCUGGUCUGAGAGGACGAUCAGCCACACUGGGACUGAGACACGGCCCAGACUCCUACGGGAGGCAGCAGUGGGGAAUUUUCCGCAAUGGGCGAAAGCCUGACGGAGCAAGACCGCGUGGGGGAGGAAGGUUCUUGGAUUGUAAACCCCUUUUCUCAGGGAAGAACACAAUGACGGUACCUGAGGAAUCAGCAUCGGCUAACUCCGUGCCAGCAGCCGCGGUAAUACGGAGGAUGCAAGCGUUAUCCGGAAUAAUUGGGCGUAAAGCGUCCGUAGGUGGCUGUUCAAGUCUGCCGUUAAAGACCGGGGCUUAACCCUGGAAAGGCGGUGGAAACUGAACGGCUAGAGUGCAGUAGGGGUAGAGGGAAUUCCCAGUGUAGCGGUGAAAUGCGUAGAGAUUGGGAAGAACACCGGUGGCGAAAGCGCUCUGCUGGACUGCAACUGACACUGAGGGACGAAAGCUAGGGGAGCGAAAGGGA
rnacentral:rRNA from 1 species